rnacentral:lncRNA from 1 species
AAUGGCUUGUGGAGAAAUAGGUAGUUAAGGAUAGUUAGAGACCGAUGGUAUUGGAGUUCAGCAAAAGUACCUAGUUGGGGGUAAGGUAAAUGGUCACUUGGUUAGAACUUGAAAUUUGCUUGAAUUUACUUUGAUUUUAUUUUGGAUUUUUACCACUUUUUGCAUGUACUUUUGAUGAAUCAAACUAUGGACUUAAGUACUUUCGGAGAGUGGUCUUGUGUUGUAAAUAAAUAUUUUUGAGUGGUGUAAAUUUAUGGAUUGAAAAUCGAAUAUUU